rnacentral:lncRNA from 1 species
AAGAUCCCCAAAAAAUUAAUUAAAAUAAAAAACAAGAAACGAAAUUUAAAGUUUAUUUAAAGUUUAUUUAAAGUUUAUUUAAUAUGAGUUUAAAUUUUAGUAUAGCUAAUGUAGUAUAUGUUAAAAAUCUUUCGACUGACGUAACAGAAAACGAUGUAAGAUCAAAAUUUGAAUCUUGUGGUGAGAUAGUUAACGUCCUUUUUAAGAACUUUCCAGGGUUAAAUCAAAAAUAUUGCCAAAUUGAGUUUAAAAGUUCAGAUGGAAUAACAAAAGCGUCUAGAUUAAAUGGGGAAAAGUUAUUAAACGUCCCAAUGGUUGUAACUGUUAUAGAACCCAUUAUUCAAAACCAGGGUUCUAUUGAUACAUCUAAUAAUACGAAUGCAAAUGGAAUACAGUUAAACAAUCAAAUAGACUCAACAAAUAUCAUUCUUAAUAAUAAUAAUACAAAUAAUAUAAAUAACAACAAUAAUAAUCUUAUGCACGAUUUGCAACAUCAGAAUUUACAAAAUAUAUUGACACAAAAACAGCUAGUUUCUGAACAGAAAAGAAGUCUAGUUGAUUUUCAAAAUUCUCUAAACGAACAGAAUAACAAAUUUGAUGUAUUUUCAAAAAUUAUUUACUUGGAAAAUAUUCCUGAAGGGUUCAAAGAUGAAGACAUAAAAGACCUCUUAAAGGAUGUAGGAACCACUACUAGUUAUAAAGUUCAAUACAAUGAAGAAAAAAAAGUAAACACCGCGUUCGUUGAAUUUCAAAAUGAAGAACAUGCAAAGGCUGCUUUAAAUUUGAAUGGAUUAAAAGUAGGAGAACAUAAAAUCAUUAUAAAAGAUGCAUAUAGCUUACUUAUCGAAAAAGACAUUAAAAAUAAUAAUUUUUCGUUUUAUAGUAACACAAAUCAAAGUGAAAUAACUACUCAAAAGGCAUUGAUGAAUAAACAAGUAAAGGUCAAUGAAAAGGUUGAAAAGGUUUUGGCAUUAAAAGAAAAACUAACAUUAAAAUUAUGCGCAAUGUAUAAUCCAAACUUACUUUUA